ACAAAAUCACAAAACUUUGGGUCAGUUCCAAUUAUUUCCAGACCUUACUGUAUGUUGGGACUUGGGAGUGUCAGUUUGUUUCCAGGGGCAUGUUCACGAGGCCUACUGCUGUAGCAAAGAAACUGUUCUUAUGGUAGGAAGUUUUGGUCCUGAUAGACCUCAGCCUUCUGCCAGAGGGGUGAGCACUGAAUAGUCCAUUUCUGGGGUGAGAGGGAUCAGCCCUGAUCUUUGCCACUCGCCUCCAUGUCCAGAUCUCUCCAGAUUACUCAUCAAGUGCCCCCUUUGUGCAUUACUUCAGUAAGCAUGUUGUCUCAUGGGUCUUAAGUACGCUCUGUGUACCCUUGUACCCCUGGUUGGGAACGAAUGUCUUUGUCAAUGUUUUUGUUCAUAACGAGUUGAAAAUUGUUAUCUAGCUGGCUAGCCUGCUUGUACAAUUACCAGAACAUUUAAAAUAAAUAUAUUCUAAAGACAUUUAUUUGAAUAUUGACACAUUACAAAACAGUAAUUUACAAAUUGAUGGCGAGCUGCUGAUGUGAAUGAAGUCGCUCAAGUUACCAUGACAACAUCUGCAAUAACAGGAUCGGAGUUGAAUGUCUCUUGCAUGUAAAAUACGAAUGCCCGCAAGUCAUAUAGAUGUGCUGGUUUGAAAGGGUAUAAUUCUGAACUGUCCGACCAUGUUUUUUUGAUCCGAAGAUUGAACGAGAUUAUGUUCUCUUACUUUUUGUGAUUACUGAUCUUGAAUAUACAUGUGUGUGUGUAUUCAUUUGAACUAACCUUUCAAACCUAUUUUGCAAUGUUGAUCUGGCCAAAUGGCAAAAAUACAGCAAAACCAAGGUGAA